rnacentral:piRNA from 8 species
UCCCUGGUGGUCUAGUGGUUAGGAUUU